GCUCUUUUCUCUCCGGCUGCAGGGAAGCAGGCCAGCGGAUAAUUACCCCUCACUGCAAUCCGCAGAGCUGGCCUAAUCCGAAAGCUCAAGUGCCCGAUGAAGGCUGAAGAGAGGCACCGACUCGAAGUUAGGACAAUUGAGCUGUCGAUUGUUUGGUGGAGAAACAGGGAAGAGAUGCGGGCUCCAACAUCACCUCUUUGGCAGAGCACUGGGUGACGAGCAAGAGUUCUGAUUUUCUCUCACGUCUCCCAGCCGCCAGAGAAAGGUGUGAUCAGAUGGUCUUCUACUACAACAGAAACAAUCCCGGAGAUCCAGCAAAGAAACACUAAAUGAUUAAACUUCUCCUGACGCCAAACUUGCACGCAGAGAAGUUAAGGACCAGAAACAUGGACAGUGUUUGGGGGAGCCGCAGUUGAUGGGCACGGCCGUGUCUCCUCGCAGGAGACCCCUGAGAAUGGGAAAUUAGCAGUCGAAAUCUGCUAGUGGGGACUGGAUCCCACAAAGCCCACGCGUUGGGAAGGCUGAG